rnacentral:lncRNA from 1 species
UGACAUUGAGAGUGGCCUUGGCUAGAACAACUCGACCAGUCAUGUUUAGGAAUUCAGUCUUUUUAUGAGCUAAUUUGGAAUUCACGGAGUCAAUGAGGUAUUGGAAGUCACAGUUCUUGGGUUUACUGUGAAAGAUGGGAAAACCCAGGUACUUUUCAAAGUUAGUGCUGGGGUGGAUAUUGAGAAUGUGUGAGCAUAAAUUAGCG